UCCCGGUUAACCCGGGCAGUCUCGCUAGAGUUCCCAGCACUACCUGUUGGCAACUAACGAUAAGGGUUGCGCUCGUUGCGGGACUUAACCCAACACCUCACGGCACGAGCUGACGACAGCCAUGCAGCACCUGUGCAGCGGCCCUUACGGGAGACGCCAUUUCUGGCGCUGUCCACUGCAUGUCAAGCCUAGGUAAGGUUCUUCGCGUUGCAUCGAAUUAAACCACAUGCUCCACUGCUUGUGCGGGUCCCCGUCAAUUCUUUUGAGUUUCACCCUUGCGAGCGUACUCCCCAGGCGGUAUACUUAACACGUUAGCUACGGCACAACUGGGGUUGAGUCCAGCUACACCAAGUAUACAUCGUUUACGGCAAGGACUAC
rnacentral:misc_RNA from 1 species